rnacentral:rRNA from 2 species
CCCUAGUAACGGCGAGUGAAGCGGCAACAGCUCAAAUUUGAAAUCUGGCGUCUUUGGCGUCCGAGUUGUAAUUUGCAGAGGGCGCUUUGGCAUUGGCAGCGGUCCAAGUUCCUUGGAACAGGACGUCACAGAGGGUGAGAAUCCCGUACGUGGUCGCUAGCCUUUACCGUGUAAAGCCCCUUCGACGAGUCGAGUUGUUUGGGAAUGCAGCUCUAAAUGGGAGGUAAAUUUCUUCUAAAGCUAAAUACUGGCCAGAGACCGAUAGCGCACAAGUAGAGUGAUCGAAAGAUGAAAAGCACUUUGGAAAGAGAGUUAAAAAGCACGUGAAAUUGUUGAAAGGGAAGCGCUUGCAGCCAGACUUGCCUGUAGUUGCUCAUCCGGGUUUUUACCCGGUGCACUCUUCUAUAGGCAGGCCAGCAUCAGUUUGGGCGGUUGGAUAAAGGUCUCUGUCACGUACCUCCUCUCGGGGAGAACUUAUAGGGGAGACGUAAUGCAACCAGCCUGGACUGAGGUCCGCGCAUCUGCUAGGAUGCUGGCGUAAUGGCUGUAAGCGGCCCGUCUUGAAACACGGACCAAGGAGUCUAACAUCUAUGCGAGUGUUUGGGUGUCAAGCCCGAGCGCGUAAUGAAAGUGAACGGAGGUGGGAACCUUUCGGGGUGCACCAUCGACCGAUCCUGAUGUCUUCGGAUGGAUUUGAGUAAGAGCAUAGCUGUUGGGACCCGAAAGAUGGUGAACUAUGCUUGAAUAGGGUGAAGCCAGAGGAAACUCUGGUGGAGGCUCGCAGCGGUUCUGACGUGCAAAUCGAUCGUCAAAUUUGGGCAUAGGGGCGAAAGACUAAUCGAACUAUCUAGUAGCUGGUUCCUGCCGAAGUUUCCCUCAGGAUAGCAGUAACGUUUUCAGUUUUAUGAGGUAAAGCGAAUGAUUAGAGGCCUGGGGGUUGAAACAACCUU